AGUUCUCUACAGAUCCUGACAGGAAUGAAAUAUAAAGCGCAAAAGCCAAGGAGAGAAGGACAAGAGAAUUCACACAGAACAGGCAAAAGGACAUUUGUCUCCACAUCUAUGAUACUGAUGGCCUAAUUGAAGGAAGAAAGUCACUAGAAUGAAAUAAAAUGGGAUAAAACAAAACAAAGCAAUCCUGUUUUGACCAUUGCACUAAAAUCUAAAGAGAAUGGAGAAUUUUUAAAACUGAGCCAUAGAAGACAUAAAUUUAGUAGAUGGAGAAACUGAGGCUUAGCAAGAUGAAGCAACCUGCCCAAGAUCACAUGGCAAAGAUGACUUGACAUUCAAGCGUAGAUCAAAGAAGAGAUCAUUGAACAGUUCAGCUUGAGUCUGUUGGACUGCAGAGUGUUUGUUUCUAAAGACCAGAUGGCCAGAAAAGUUGCCUUUGUCCUCACUGAUGUUUCAAACAAGGCAUUAUGCUUUUCCCCUGAUGUCUACAGCAAUUUAAAACAACUCACCAGUCCCCUUUGGGUGGGGAAACAGCUUGAUAUCGUAAGAGUAGGAAUAAAUUGUUUAGCCAAUAAACUUACCUGAUGAAAAA